rnacentral:rRNA from 1 species
CUACGGGCGGCUCCAGUUAGGAAUAAUCUACAAUGCGCGCAAGCGUGAUAGUUUGAGCCAGAGUGUUUUUCAUUAUGAAAAACUUUUGUUGAAUGUAAAAAGUUAACGAAUAAGGACUGGGUAAGACGAGUGCCAGCCGCCGCGGUAAUACUCGCGGUCCAAGUCGCAGCCAUUUUUAUUGGGUCUAAAACAUCCGUAGCUUGUUUAGUAAGUCCCUUGUGAAAUUUUGCAUCUUAAAUGCAGAGCGUGCAAGGGGUACUACUAGGCUAGAGACUGGGAGACGUAAGAAGUACGUUCAAAGUAGCGGUUAAAUGUGUUAAUCUUGGACGGACUCACAAAAGCGAAGGCAUCUUACGAGAACAGUUCUGACAGUCAGGGAUGAAGGCUAGGGGCGCAAAACGGAUUAGAUACCCCCGUAGUC